CCCACACCGAUCUCUACCCCAGAUUAAACUCCACCCACUGAUCUCCUUUAACCAGGAAUUCUUGGUUCCACAGCGAUCGGAGCAGACCGAAUGCCUAAAAGUUAGGAAAGGGGACAGUCUUCCGCCUGUGGUUCACAUCAUGGAAGAACUUGGUAGAGAUUGAUCAGGUCUAUGCGAAAGGUCUUCAGUUCCACCAUGAAGGAGAGAUCUAAAAGGAAGACAUUUAUUCUCAUCAUAGAUGGAAGCAGGUCCUAUACAAGUCAAACUUGUGUUGGAAAUGUACUAAUAGUUACUCAGAGAUGGGCUGGAUAACGCAGAGAGGGCCUGAAUCCACUUUCAUAACUUCUUUAUACUUGGCAUGCUGCUUCAGAACUUGAGACGAAUAAUCCUCAACGAUACAGAUAAAAUGACCCUUGAAAUCCAAUUUUCCUCUCCGACAUGCUUCCAUGAUCAAAAGGUUUCUCACCUGAUAUCGAUGAAAACACAGAAUAACCGGACGUGGCCUAGAGCCCUACUCAGGCUUGACCAGAAAUGUACGGUGAGCUCUGUCUAACUCGGGUGGGGUCGAAAGAAUAUCCUUCCCACAACUCUCACAGAGUGAAGAAAAACUAUUCAACAGGAGAUCCACCCUCGAUAGCCUCCGGCAGACCGAGGACUCGUAGAUUAUGACGUCUGCUCCGACCUUCGAGAUCAGUUACUUUGGAUGUUAACUUGGUGUUAUGCUCACUCAGAUUGCAACAGACGGCUUCCAGCUGCUGAACACGACAUUUUAAUUCUUCGGUAGUUGACUCACGAUGAGAGGGACGUUCGGCAUGAUUCUCCACUCUGGCGUAAAUUUGAUCCGAUUUUGACUCCAACAAACUGAAUGAAGACUUAUAUUUAGACUUAAGUUCAGAUACAAUCUCUUGUCGGUGCUGUUCCAAAAUGGAGAUAAUCUCGGCAGAGGAACCAGAGACAGUCGCAGUCGUAGAGACUUCUUUUUUCCCAGAUUUGGAAAACAUUGUCGCCAUUGUCGGACAGAUGUAUUCGCAGGCAGGUAGAAGAGCAAAAAAUUUAACAGACUGGAGUGAAAAAAAGGAGAUAAAGAGUGCAGAGGUAAGAAAUGAAAUGGAGCAAUAGUUUUAAGCGACUGAACUAUUGCCAUCUUACCAGAAGUGAUUAAGAAGUAUUUACCACAGUUACAGGAAUGUCAGAAUGGCCAGAAACAGAAUCAAGUUUAAUAUGUCAUGAAAUUUGUUAUCUCUGCAGCAGCAGCAGUACAAUGCAAUACAUGAUAAAACUGUGAAUUAGAGUAAGUAUAUAUAGGUAUAUCAAAUAGUUAAAUAAGUAGUACAAAAACAUGAAUUUUAAAAAGUUGUGAGGUAGUGUUCAUGGUUUCAGUGUCCAUUCAAAAAUCAGAUGGCAGAGGGAAAGAAGCUGGUCCUGAGUCACUGAGUGUGUGGCUUCAGGCUUCUGAACCUCCUUUCUGAUGGUAACAAUGAGAAGAGGGCAUGUCCUCAGUGGCGGGGGUCCUUAAUGAUGGAUGCCACCUUUUUGAGGUACUGCACCCUGGAUGCUACUGAGGCUAGUACCCAUGAUAGAGCUGACUAAUUUUAUCACUAUCUGCAACUUACUUUGAUCCUAUGCACCACAACCCCCAUUCCAGGUGAUGAUGCAGCCAGUCAGGAUGCUUUCCACAGUACAUUUGUAGAAAUUUUAUAGUGUUUAUGUAUGAUGCAAUUUCCACUCAGGAUACAUUGUGCUUAUAGUUGCUGACACAGUGCUUCGAAACUCAUGGAUCGUGGGAAGAGUCAUUUAAGACUUUUCAGACAGAAGAGGAGUUUGUAGCAUGUGUGCAUCAAGACCAAGACCAGCUGUUUGGACAGACUAUAAAUCAAGAUCUGUCUUCUGCAGGAGGCAGAGGUUUGAGAAGCUACAGCUCUAGAAGCUUCAUAACCUUGACUUGACAGAGAGUGGUGGCAAAGGUCUCUGUACUGGGCUAAGUGCUGGUAACCUCUGGCCUAGAUGACUGUUGCAUGGCUUGACUGGAAGAAGAAAGAGGACAUUUGUAUAAAUGUUCAGAUAUUUGUCCUUUAAGAUUUUGUGUCUCCUAUUUUAGUAGUAUGUAGUUAUAAUUUUUAUUAUGUAAUCAUCAAAGGACUGAGAUUUGGAGCCAUAUAUCUAUUUUCUGUCUGUAUUGUAUUUUGUGGCAUGUUUAAUAUGGUAAUCUGUCAUGUGGUUUGGGAUAUGGUAUAAGCAAUUGAGCACAGUUAUGUACUUACGCUUUGUUUUAGAUAGUUGUUUCAUUUCGUCUAGGGGGAGGGUUUGAGCGACACAGAGUGAUUUUUUUUGUUGUUGACCAUUUAAACAUGUAUCGAACACUAAUUCUGAUACUCCUAAUUAGAAUGCUUAGUUACACUAAUUUGAAGCUAUAUCGCUAAUUUAGUUUCAUUAGAUUUUUAUUACUACAAGAUCGUUCAUCUUUGCU